UAACUUUCCAAAACGAAAAGGAAAGCGACGUUCAGUCGUCGGCUGGUCAACACUCAGCAACAAGCUCAGCUGCUGCUGCGUUGCAUUCGAAAGAAGAAAAGCAUGUCGUUUUUUCGUAAACUCUUGAAAUGGCUUCUUGGUGGUGAAGAUGAGCAUGAAUGUUAUUAUGGUGAAUAUGUGCCUGAAUUUUGUUAUGAUUGUUACAAUCAGCUUCCCGAAUUACACGAUCGUGAUUAUCGUUACGAUACUUCCCACAGAUACCUCUUGCCACCCCCUAAACCCCCAUCAAUUCCAUCUAAACCAGUCCUGUCUCCCUUUAAUCCACCAUCAUCUUCCCCUAAACCUCCUACAUUGUGUAGAAAACCGCAAUCUUCUUCACUCAGAUACA